UUAAAUUGAAGAGUUUGAUCAUGGCUCAGAUUGAACGCUGGCGGCAGGCCUAACACAUGCAAGUCGAGCGGCAGCGG
rnacentral:rRNA from 4 species